AGGAUAAGUUAGAAAGGGCGCACGGUGAAUGCCUUGGCACUAGGAGCCGAUGAAGGACGCGACGAACCGCGAUAGGCUUCGGGGAGCUGUAAGUAAGCUUCGAUCCGGAGAUUUCCGAAUGGGGGAACCCACCAUCCGUAAUGGGAUGGUACUGGCAUCUGAACACAUAGGAUGUCGAGAGGCAGACCCGGGGAACUGAAACAUCUAAGUACCCGGAGGAAGAGAAAGCAAAUGCGAUUUCCUGAGUAGCGGCGAGCGAAACGGAAACAGCCCAAACCAAGAGGCUUGCCUCUUGGGGUUGUAGGACACUCAACAACGGAGUGAUCAAGAAACGGAGUAGGUGAACUGUCUGGAAAGGCAGGCCGAAGAAGGUAACAGCCCUGUAGCUGAAACUUCGUUUCCUCCAGAGUGGAUCCUGAGUACGGCGGGACACGUGAAACCCCGUCGGAAUCCGGGAGGACCAUCUCCCAAGGCUAAAUACUCCCUAGUGACCGAUAGUGAACCAGUACCGUGAGGGAAAGGUGAAAAGCACCCCGGAAGGGGAGUGAAAGAGAUCCUGAAACCGUGUGCCUACAACUAGUCAGAGCCCGUUAACGGGUGAUGGCGUGCCUUUUGUAGAAUGAACCGGCGAGUUACGGUAUCGUGCAAGGUUAAGCUGAUGAAGCGGAGCCGCAGCGAAAGCGAGUCUGAAUAGGGCGCAUAAGUACGAUGCCGUAGACCCGAAACCGGGUGAUCUACCCAUGUCCAGGGUGAAGGUCGGGUAACACCGACUGGAGGCCCGAACCCACGCAAGUUGAAAAUUGCGGGGAUGAGGUGUGGGUAGGGGUGAAAUGCCAAUCGAACUCGGAAAUAGCUGGUUCUCCCCGAAAUAGCUUUAGGGCUAGCCUCGAGUGAUGAGUCUUGGAGGUAGAGCACUGAUUGGACGAGGGGUCCCCACAGGAUUACCGAAUUCAGUCAAACUCCGAAUGCCAAUGACUUUAACCCGCGAGUCAGA
rnacentral:rRNA from 1 species